rnacentral:lncRNA from 1 species
UGGUAUCCGCUGCCUUUUAGCUUGGUGGUAUCCGCUGCCUUUUAGCUUGGUGGUAUCCGCUGCCUUUUAGCUUGGUGGUAUCCGCUGCCUUUUAGCUUGGUGGUAUCCGCUGCCUUUUAGCUUGGUGGUAUCCACUGCCUUUUAGGUGACAGCAGCUCAGCCUCACUUGCCGGAUCCUGCCCUGCCCAGAUGCUCUGGCUGCUCUCCGAGCAGCUCCCUCAACCUUUGGUCUGCACAGCGGUGCUUCUCAAAGCAAGGCCCUGUGCCACCUCCAUCAGAAUCCCCUGGGCAGCUGGCUAAAAAUGCAGAUUCCACUAUCCCUCACCAGACUUACUGAAAGAGCAUCUCCAGAGAUGGGACCGUGGAAGCAGCAUCUAUUACAAGCUCCGGUGGGAUUCUCAUGCCUAAGGAAUCUUUAGACUCAUGGCUUGGGACAAAUUCAAAUGCCAAGGAGAUGCAGAGGGGAAGCAGGGGAGCCUCAGGCUCCUCCUCCACCCCCCCCCACCUUCUCCUCCCCAUCCAUCACUUUUAGAGAGGUGACUACAGAGGCUGAAAACUGUAGCCAACUCCCUGUGUGUCAAUGAAUGACAGAUUUUGCUCCUCUUUUUAUAAGGGGCAGAAGCGACACAAUUUGGGAGAGCUCUUUUUCAAGCUUUUCUGAGGUGCUGGUGGAUAUGCAAAGUCAUUCCCAUGAAACUUCAUGAGAUAAGAGCUUCCAAUGUACUGGAAUUUUUUUGUUCUUGAUUCUGACAUCUUUGUCAACUCCGCCUGACAUUAUGUGGCCUUCAAGACAAGGGGAAGAUAACCUUAACACUACCUCAUCCCACCGAAUUUCUGCAGAACAAUUGCCACAGCUGAGAAUCAAGAUGACAGUGCUCCCUAAGUACAGUGUUUUACAAUGAAAAGCCUUUGAUGGCCACGGACACUCCUAAUGGUUUCCCAGAGGGAGACACUGAGGGGGACAACACUGCCAGAUGCGAUUCCUUUGGUCCUGAUGGCAUGGGAGGAAACCAUAUGCAUAACCUCUACUCUGCAACACUCUUUUAUCAUGCAUUCCUGGGCUGGAAGUCUUCUCUUCACGGGGCAUCGAGAAGACUAAUUUCUACUAUCUCCAUUCACUACACACCACCCGGCAACUGGAGCUGUCCACAAUACUGAAUAUGGAGAGGACAGGUCAGGAAGGUACAUGUGUGGAGGGAAGUGUGUUUAAAUGGUGGCUAAUAUAGGAGAUAUCUACUAUUUGUUAUCUGUUCAUCACUUUCUCUUCCUUUCUUCUGGCAGCGUACCCUAUUUCUUUGACACCAGAAGUGUGUAUGUGACCCAGGAUGGGUAAAUUAUUUCACUGUUGUGACCACCGUCACUGUUCGGAGAGGUACACUCACGACGAGCCAAGCUGAGCUAACUUGCGUUUUCCUGCCAUUUUGAAACUGGAGCUGGGAGGA